AUGGCUCUCCCCCUCGUUCGCCUCCUCCUCCCCUCUCUCCCCGCGUGCCAGCCGCCGCUCCGUCACCCCGAGUACUCCGCUCCACCUCGCCACAGCCACGUCUCCUUCGCGGUCUCCGCUGCCGCCCGCUCCUCCGGCCACCGCUUGGCGUUCGCUGUCUGCGCUGCUAGCGCCUCGGUCGCCCCGGCGCCUGCGGAAACGGAGGCGGAUGCGGAGGAUGAGCAGCCCGUGGGGCCGAAGACGCGGCUUAUCGCGAUGAACAUCCCAUGGGAUUUCACGCCCGACGACAUUCGCGUUCUUUUCGAGAAGCAAGGCACCGUCGUCGACGUGGAGCUUUCGAUGCACAGUUCCAAAAAAAACAGAGGGUUGGCAUUUGUAACCAUGGGUUCAGAAGAGGAGGCUCUUUCAGCACUCAAGAAUCUCAAUUUGUCUACUUUGAAUGAUAGAACGAUUAAGGUGGACUUUGCAAAACCUAAAAAGAAGCAACCUGCUGUGCCAUCAGUUCCUGUGGAGAAAAAUGUUGUGUUUGUGGGGAAUUUAACAUGGAGAGUGAGAUCCCGUCAUCUUCGGGAGUUAUUUGCCUCAACUCCAGGUGUCCAAUCAGUUGAAGUUAUCUUUCAUACCACCACACCAAGGCGAUCUGCUGGCUAUGCAUUUGUUUCCUUUUCCUCGAAAGAGGAGGCAGAGGCGGCUAUUUCUACCUUCAAUGGCAAGGAAUUGAUGGGACGAUCCAUUAACGUGAUGUUCAAAGAGGACACUGUCAAAAAGAACAAGUCUUCUGAUUCUGAGGAAGAGAAGUUGGAGGAGGCAGAAUCAUCUGAGGAGAGUGAUAGCUAA
rnacentral:rRNA from 1 species